rnacentral:sRNA from 1 species
CUGAUGCUGCUGCUGCUGCUGUGGCAAAUGUUGCUGCUGCGGCUGCUGCGACUGAUGUUGCUGCUGCUGUGCGUGUUGCUGCUGCUGCAAAUGUUGCUGCUGCUGCUGCUGGAAGUGCUGCUGCUGCUGCGGAUAUUGUUGCUGCUGUUGCGACAAAAGUUGCUGCUGUGUCAACAGUUGCUGCUGCUGCUGCUGAUGCUGCUGAUAUUGUUGCUGCUGUUGCGACUGAUGCUGCAGACCAGCAACUCCAGUGGCUGGAACUG